AUGCAGGGGAUAAAUCAGCAUUUUGACAGGACUGAUUGGACUGAAAAGGCAAGGCUGAAUGAGAAGCUAUGUUUUGUGGAGGUUUUCCCUGAAGGAGUGAGGACAUCGUUGGAACACUUGAUCUUUUCUUGCAUUAAAAGGAUGAACAGUAUUGCGGCUCACAAGAAAGCUUGAGUUAUAGUCUUCUUCUUGGACAUUGAUGGAAACAUCUGAAUAAGGAAUAUCAACCAAAUGGCCCCGGGCCCCCAGUGGUGUAGUCGGCAACAAAGACGACUUGUUGGAGACCAAGAGCUGGUUGAGUGGCAGACCAUGUUCAACAACGCCUGGCUCCCAUAUGGACACAAAAUUC
rnacentral:lncRNA from 1 species